rnacentral:ncRNA from 1 species
GACAAGGGGAGCUUGUAUUACAGGCUGAGAGGAAGUUGUAAACUUCGACCCACAACCUGAUCUGGGUAAUGCCAGCGUAGGGAUGCGU